GAUGAACGCUGGCGGCGUGCCUAAUACAUGCAAGUCGAGCGAACAGACGAGGAGCUUGCUCCUCUGACGUUAGCGGCGGACGGGUGAGUAACACGUGGAUAACCUACCUAUAAGACUGGGAUAACUUCGGGAAACCGGAGCUAAUACCGGAUAAUAUAUUGAACCGCAUGGUUCAAUAGUGAAAGACGGUUUUGUGUUAAUUAUUGAUGGAUCCGCGCCGCAUUAGCUAGUUGGUAAGGUAACGGCUUACCAAGGCAAAGAUGCGUAGCCGACCUGAGAGGGUGAUCGGCCACACUGGAACUGAGACACGGUCCAGACUCCUACGGGAGGCAGCAGUAGGGAAUCUUCCGCAAUGGGCGAAAGCCUGACGGAGCAACGCCGCGUGAGUGAUGAAGGUCUUCGGAUCGUAAAACUCUGUUAUUAGGGAAGAACAAAUGUGUAAGUAACUAUGCACGUCUUGACGGUACCUAAUCAGAAAGCCACGGCUAACUACGUG
rnacentral:rRNA from 1 species